rnacentral:rRNA from 1 species
UAGGGAAUCUUCGGCAAUGGGGGCAACCCUGACCGAGCAACGCCGCGUGAGUGAAGAAGGUUUUCGGAUCGUAAAGCUCUGUUGUAAGAGAAGAACGUGUGUGAGAGUGGAAAGUUCACACAGUGACGGUAACUUACCAGAAAGGGACGGCUAACUACGUGCCAGCAGCCGCGGUAAUACGUAGGCCCCGAGCGUUGUCCGAAUUUAUUGGGCGUAAAGGGAGCGCAGGCGGGUUAAUAAGUCUGAAGUGAAAGGCAGUGGCUGAACCAUUGUUCGCUUUGGCAACUGUUAAACUUAAGUGAAGAAGAGGUGAGUGGAAUUCCAUGUGUAGCGGUGAAAGUCGUAGACAUAUGGAGGAACACCGGUGGCGAAAGCGGCUCUCUGGUCUGUAGCUGACGCUGAGGCUCGAGAGCGUGGGGAGCGAACAGG